rnacentral:rRNA from 1 species
CACGUAGGGGACGAGCGUUGUCCGGAUUCAUUGGGCGUAAAGCGCGCGUAGGCGGCUCGGAAAGUCGGUCGUGAAAUGCCGGGGCUCAACCCCGGGACUGCGUCCGAUACUCCCGAGCUGGAGGCAGGUAGGGGAGAUCGGAAUUCCUGGUGUAGCGGUGAAAUGCGCAGAUAUCAGGAGGAACACCGGUGGCGAAGGCGGUUCUCUGGCAAUGUUCUGACGCUGAGGAGCGAAAGUGUGGGGAGCGAACAGG